GGGGAAACUUACCGGGUCCGGACACAUUGAGGAUUGACAGGAGCAUACUUCAAAUAGUGUUAUGAUAUUAUUCAUUUAAUAUUGUAAUUCUCAUUUGUUGUAUAUCAAAUAUGCUAGUCCUUUCAUGAUUGUGUGAUAGGUGGUGCAUGGCCGUUCUUAGUUCGUGGAGUGAUCUGUCUGCUUAAUUGCGUUUCACUUAUUUAAAGGCGCACUGCGCGUCGUUUGUUCUUACUGUGUUCUUUAAUUAGACAUGUGGACAAUGUACAUAUGCAGUGACGACCUUGAAGGCAACGA
rnacentral:rRNA from 1 species